rnacentral:lncRNA from 1 species
AAAAUAAUCCCAGUUAUUGUUUUAGCUGAGAACAUUAUGUCUAGCUGAAAUCAUACAUUUAUCAGCCUACUGUAUACCCAGAUGUGGCAUAUUACAGGGUCCUAGCCAAGGAGAUGGAAGUGGAAGAGAGCAUUCCCUUACUUUCACUCCCUACUGCCUAGAUGGCAGAUAUGAUUGUUGGAGUUCCACAGCCAUGUUGGGCCAUGAGGUGAAUUUGAAAAUAGAAUUCACCCAUAGUGAUAACAAGAUAGGAGGAGCAUGGGUCCCUGACACCAUGAAGCCACCAAACCAUCCAUGAACAGACUCCUGACCUCUUUACAGGAGAGAAAAAGAAACUUUAUUUCCUUUAAACCACUGUUAUUUUGGAUCUUCUGGUAAUCUAAUCUUGACUAAUACACACUCAAUUUUAAUUGAGUGUGGAGAAUAUUAUAAAUCAUAUAUUUCCUAAGAAAGGUGCCAUCCUAUGUCUUUUUGACAUUCAAAGCAUUGAAAAGUGAGGGCUACAAUCAAACCACAUACAUUCCUCCAUGUAACCCAAUAGCAAACCCUUUUUAAAACUAUUGAAUUCAAUUCUAUUUAAUAAAAAAAUUUAACUUACACAUAUGUGUAAUGUGUUUUAUGAAUACUUGCCUCAACAUACUUAGGAAUGGCUUGUUUCAAAUAUUUUCUAGCAGUUUGAACAUAAAGAUUUUAUCACCUAAAAGAUAUUUCAUGGGUAGUUUGAAAAUGCUUCAUUACACUGAGUGCCACUAGAGCUGCCCAAUUCAGGCCAGGCCAGGCUUUUAUCCUCAGUGUCCUUCCUUUUGUACUCCAGUCAAUCCCUUGGGUCAAUCCCACGCCAAGGCAAGAGAUCCUCCAGCCCCAAAAAGAAACCCUCCCUUGUUGGGGAGAAUGUAAAUUGGUGCAGCCACUGUGGAGAACAGAAUGGAAGUUCCUUAAAAAACUAGACAUAGAACUACCAUAUGAUCCUAUAAUCCCACUGCUGGGCAUAUUUUGGGAGAAAACUAUAAUUUGAAAAGUACAGGAGUUCCUGCUGUGGUGCAGCAGGAUUGGUGGCAUCUUGAGAGCACUGGGACACAGUGCUCGAUCACCAGCCCCGCACAGUAGGCUAAGGAUCCAGCAUUGCUGCAGCUGCAGCUUAGGUUGCAACUGUGGCUCAGAUCUGAUCCCUAGCCCAGGAACUCCAUAUGCCAUGGUGUGGCCAAAAAAGAAAAAAAAAGAAAAGUACAUGCACUUCAGUGUUCAUAGCAGCACUAUUUACAAUAGCCAAGACAUGGAAACAACUGUGAUGGCUAUCCACAGAUGAAUGGAUAAAGAAGAUGUGGUACAUAUACACAAUGGAAUACUACUCAGCUAUAAAAAAGAAUAAAAUAAUGCUAUUAGCAGCAACAUGGAUGGACCUAGAGAUUCUCAUACUAAAUGAAGUAAGUCAAAUAUCAUAUGAUACUGCUUAUAUGUAGAAUCUAAGAAAAGAUACAAAUGAACUUAUGUAGAAAACAGAAAUAGAUCCACAGACAUGGAAAACAAACUUACAGUUAUCAAAUAGGAAGUAGGGGAGGGAUAAAUUAGGACUUUGGGAUUAACGGAUAUACACCACUAUAUAUAAAACAGACAACCAACAAGGACCUACUGUAUAGCCCAGGGAACUAGACUCAAUAUUUUGAAAUAACCUAUAAGAGAAAAUAGAUAUGUAUGUAUAAUUGACUCACUUUGCUGUACACUUGAAACUAACACAUUUUAAGUCAAUUAUACUGCAAUUAAAAGAUAAUUUUUUUUUAAAAGACACUCCAGCUCUUUCAACUCUGCAGCCUGGGACCUUGGCUUCAGAUGACAGGUGCUGCUGCUGUUGGCUGCCUUAUGCAAAAGCAUGAUCUUUAAUGAAUGCUCCUGUGUACUGUGGAGGAGGGAACAUGGCAGGCAGUGCUCAGAGCACUCCUGUUCUAGAUUCUAGUCCUAGCUCUCUGGUUUACUAUUCUGCUGCCAUCAGGAUGCAUGGCUGUUUUGUCUCCAUGUUCUCACCUGAUAGAAAAGGAAUACCCAGGCUUGGAGGUUUCCCAAAGCAAUUUUGUAACUGAAGGGGCCCAUGGAGUUCCCGUCAUGGCUCAGUGGUUAACGAGUCCAACUAGGAACCAGGAACUCGGAUUGAGUGGGUUCAAUCCCUGGCCUCGCUCAGUGGGUUAAGGAUCCAGCAUUGCCAUGAGCUGUGGUGUAGGUUGCAGACGCAGCUCAGAUCCUGCGUUGCUGUGGCUCUGGCGUAGGCCGGUGGCUACAGCUCCGAUUCAACCCCUAGCCUGGGAACCUCCAUAUGCCGCAGAAGCGGCCCUAGAAAAGGCAAAAAGACAAAAAAAAAAAGAAGGGGCCCUGUCAUGUCACAGGCCAUGGAGAUGAGGAUUCCUGACACUUAGAAAUUCAGUGGAGAAGGAAGGAAACCCUAUGGGCUCAGCCUUGCAGGCAUAUGUUAAUUUUAAAGGGAUGUCAGUCACUUUUCUGAGUAACUUCUUGGAUGCCUAGCAAUUCAAACCUAUUAGGAUCUUUCAAGAGUUAUCUCAGAGUAACUUAUUUCCUCUUGUCCAACAUAUAGUAGAGGUUAAGAGCAUUACAUUAACUCAUCAAAAUAAGGUUUAUUAAUUAAAACAAUUUAGGUAUUGGUCUAAGAACAGAAUUUGCAUGGUACCUUCAGAAUGACCAAGGGGUAGAUGGUGUCAUUUUCAAUGUUUAUCACUUUUUUAAAAAGACACUCCAGCCCCUUCAACUCCACAGCCUGGGACCUUGGCUUUACUACUGUGUAUGUAUGGUAUUUACUACUUUUUAAGGCCGUCAGAGAUACUGUUGAGGCUUAUUCUUUAGUCAGUGGUUUCUCAAAUUCCAUGAGGAGAACUUCCCAUCUUCCUGGCAAAGUUCUCACUCAAGACUUGAGAGAGAAGCCUACAGGUCUGAGAUGGAGCUGGAGAGAUCAAAUAUAAGCAGCUCUCUAAGCUGUGCUAACUGGUUGACCUGUACGCCCCUGUUAGAUGGGCUCUGUUUAGAUCCCAGAUUUGCUAUUUCACUCUCACAUGGUCCUGGUCCAGUAACUGAACUUCAGUUUCCUCAUCUAUUAAAUGGGAGUGACAGAACAUAAUAGAUGCUUGCUUACUCUCUAUCUUAUUCCUCUUAGUUAAUAUCUCGUUCUCUCCAAGAUCAGAGGUCAUUGCUAUCUGUGCCAGAGUCUUGGGGACUCUGUGCCUUAUUUCCAGUGUCCUUAGAGGACCAAGAAGAGAUGAAAGCUGAUUCUGAGACAUUCC